GAUGAACGCUGGCGGCGUGCCUAAUACAUGCAAGUCGAACGCAUAGCGAAAGGUGCUUGCACCUUUCAAGUGAGUGGCGAACGGGUGAGUAACACGUGGACAACCUGCCUCAAGGCUGGGGAUAACAUUUGGAAACAGAUGCUAAUACCGAAUAAAACUUAGUGUCGCAUGACACAAAGUUAAAAGGCGCUUCGGCGUCACCUAGAGAUGGAUCCGCGGUGCAUUAGUUAGUUGGUGGGUAAAGGCCUACCAAGACAAUGAUGCAUAGCCGAGUUGAGAGACUGAUCCGCCACAUUGGAACUUAGACACGGCCCAAACUCCUACGGGAGGCUGCAGUAGGGAAUCUUCCACAAUGGGCGAAAGCCUGAUGGAGCAACGCCGCGUGUGUGAUGAAGGCUUUCGGGUCGUAAAGCACUGUUGUAUGGGAAGAACAGCUAGAAUAGGAAAUGAUUUUAGUUUGACGGUACCAUACCAGAAAGGGACGGCUAAAUACGUG
rnacentral:rRNA from 1 species